rnacentral:rRNA from 1 species
CGCGAACGCUGGCGGCAGGCCUAACACAUGCAAGUCGAACGAACUCUUCGGAGUUAGUGGCGGACGGGUGAGUAACACGUGGGAACGUGCCUUUAGGUUCGGAAUAACUCAGGGAAACUUGUGCUAAUACCGAAUGUGCCCUUCGGGGGAAAGAGUUAUCGCCUUUAGAGCGGCCCGCGUCUGAUUAGCUUGUUGGUGAGGUAAAGGCUCACCAAGGCGACGAUCAGUAGCUGGUCUGAGAGGAUGAUCAACCACAUUGGGACUGAUACACGGCCCGAACUCCGACGGGAGGCAGCAGUGGGGAACCUUGCGCAAUGGGCGAAAGCCUGACGCAGCCAUGCCGCGUGAAUGAUGAAGGUCUUAGGAUUGUAAAAUUCUUUCACCGGGGACGAUAAUGGCGGUACCCGGAGAAGAAGCCCCGGCUAACUUCGUGCCAGCCGCCGCUGUAA